rnacentral:rRNA from 1 species
GGGAGUGGCAACACUUCUGUCGGCGACCGGCGCACGGGUGAGUAACGCGUAUGCAACCUGCCCUUCACAGGGGGAUAACCGGGAGAAAUUCCGACUAAUACCGCAUACGUCCUCCGGGGGCAUCCCCGGGGGAUGAAAGAAUUAUCGGUGAAGGAUGGGCAUGCGUGAUAUUAGGUAGUUGGCGGGGCAACGGCCCACCAAGCCCACGAUAUCUAGGGGUUCUGAGAGGAAGGUCCCCCACAUUGGUACUGAGACACGGACCAAACUCCUACGGGAGGCAGCAGUGAGGAAUAUUGGUCAAUGGACGAGAGUCUGAACCAGCCAAGUCGCGUGAAGGAAGACGGAUCUAUGGUUUGUAAACUUCUUUAGUGCGGGAACAAAGCGGCGUCGUGACGCCGGAUGAGUGUACCGCAAGAAUAAGCAUCGGCUAACUCCGUGCCAGCAGCCGCGGUAAUACGGAGGAUGCGAGCGUUAUCCGGAUUUAUUGGGUUUAAAGGGAGCGCAGGCUGCGGGGCAAGUCAGCGGUCAAAUGUCGGGGCUCAACCCCGGCCUGCCGUUGAAACUGUCCUGCUAGAGUUCGAGUGAGGUAUGCGGAAUGCGUUGUGUAGCGGUGAAAUGCAUAGAUAUGACGCAGAACUCCGAUUGCGAAGGCAGCAUACCAACUCGCGACUGACGCUGAGGCUCGAAAGCGUGGGUAUCGAACAGGAUUAGAUACCCUGGUAGUCCACGCAGUAAACGAUGAAUACUAACUGUUCGGAGGGCGACCUCUGAGUGGUAAAGCGAAAGCGUUAAGUAUUCCACCUGGGGGAGUACGCCGGCAACGGUGAAACUCAAGGAAUUGACGGGGGCCCGCAC